GAGGUGUAUGCCGUGACUAAGGCUUGGGCGCCAAAUAAUGGCAUUCUGAUCAGUGGAUGCCAGACUAACCAAACAACAGCCGAUGCAACUACACCACUAGGUGUCUCCUUCGGUGCUCUGAGUAAUUCUAUACAGACCAUUCUUGCAAAUGAGCACGGGAAGGUGACGAAUGAGCCCGCAGCGAUGCCAAGCCCUCGACGACGCCACUGCUCGCCACGACCCCGCUGCAGCGCUGCUCCAGCCUCUCCUGUCGUCCCAACACAGGCGACCACAGUGACGAGCCCACUGCCCCUGGACCUGCCCGCGGCAACACUAAGUCCUCGGCGCAGCCGCUGCUCCAUCAUCUCCUGCCGCCCCGGCACAUGCGACCCCCCCCCCCCCCCCCCCCCUGUGACCGGGCCGAGCCGCUGUUUCAGUCGUCCCGAUGCGGUGCCCUGUACAUCUGUACGUGAGCGCCUUGCCGAUCUGGCAGUCAGGCUACAUGUAUACCACCCCCUGUACCCACCCGUUCUCCAAUUUCAUAUAGAACAAGUUGUUGCUUGAUAUUAGCGUCCCACUUGAAUGAGUCUCUGUCAACUCUGUUUGUCUCUUGGUUUCUCCGUUAUAAUGCUUAUAUGCUCCCAAGUCAGUUCAUGUCAACCAGUAAGUGUUCAAUAACAUUUUGUUUCAAUUGUGCAUACCAUUUGAUAUGUUUUUGGUCAUCUCAGCACAAAAUUUUAGUUUGUUUUGGCUAUCUGUUUUAUGAAGAAUUAAACCUUGGAUAAUUAUGUUACUUCGGUGUGAUUGGGCAGAAUCCACUAACAACAUAUUUGUUCCUGUCAAACUGUGUAUGAAUGAUUUAGUUUACAUUAGAAGUGUCAUCCAUAAUUUCUAGAUCAAAGAAAAUAAAAAAAUUUGGCGACGGCGGAGCAGGAUGGCAACGUCCCCCACAGAACUUCGCAGGGCUCCCCAAUAUUCAGAUAUUGAUAUAUAUGUUCCCUCAACAAUCUGGAAUGGCAUCAGGAUUAUUGGAAAUAGAAGCUUUGUUCUGUCUGACCUUUUUCUGCAGUAGUAGUUCUUUUCAAGUCUAACUAUACAUAUGUAAUAAUAUUUUACAAUAACACAGAGGCUUCCAAAACGAUUCUUUCAAAACAAUUCUGGAUACGUUUGAUCCUCCCCCAAAUAUCACUGUAAUGUAUGUUAUCAUACAUUUAUGCUAUGUAUUUCAGUUUUCACCUCCA